UGUCUUCUGUGCUGUCUGUUUUCUCUGUUGGGUGGUAAACUCGUUCUUCGGUACCGCAUUGAUUGGUGGCCAAGUGGUGAAAUCGUGUGAAUUGUGAUAGCAGUUUGAGGUCCAAAAGAAAACUUCAACAUGAGUCGUUUUUUUGCUACUGGCUCUGAUUCAGAAUCAGAAAGUUCGUCAGAGGAGGAGCAGGUUAUUCGCCAGCCUACCACAGCAUUCACGUUCAGUGAUGAAGAGGAAGAUACAAAACGUGUUUGUUCGUUCUGCAAAGGAGAAAACGCUAUGAGGAUCUUAGAAACACUAUCAAACAGCUUAGAAAUUAUAAAAAAAUCAA